rnacentral:lncRNA from 1 species
AUUUAUUUUUAAUUUUUAUUUAAUAAAUAUUUAUUUCGAUUAAUUUUCUUUUUCAAAAAAUAAAAUAUAACCGAAAAAUCUGAAACGUCACAAAGCAGGGCUGCAUUUUUCGACUUUAGCAAUCGAUACGACUAUUCGACGAUGACUUAUCUCCUCGAAAAUAUUCAGUAUCCACCUCGACUAGACUACCAGACCACUCAGAGAUUAUUCGCGCGACACCUCUCUCAGGAUGAUUCACGGUGACUCAGCCGCGAAGCCACCCCACUCUAGUUGAAAUACGUUCCCGAAUCUUUCGAAAUUAUCAGUCAAUAGUCUGCCGAGCUUUAUUCAAACGGUUUUUCCCGGAUCCCAGUUUUUGUUGACGGGCUCUCAGUUUUUCGGUUCCCUCGGAAAUUUCUACAACUUUUAGUUAUGUACAAAGUAGUGUUAUUAUUCGUCUUGUGCACGACGAUUUUGGGUCUCCACGUGGAUCGCACCCUCGAGCCAGGGGCUCACGGCCGUGACGUCGUGGAGACGGUUGUGUACCGGAUACACCGAAGUCGUGUUUUCCCCGACGACAGAGAUUUUUUACGCCGCGUGGCCUACACCGAGAGCAAGUUCGGCGACGAUCCGCAAACAUACCGCAGCGGAUACCACGGAGGUGUCUGGCAAUUCGAUCGACUCAAGAAGACGAAAUACGACGACGCCAAUGACGCCAAUGACGCCACAAGCCCGUACCUCAGAAGUAUCCAUGCAUCGAUCAAGGAUAAGAUGAGCAUCGAUUGGAUGCAGGUGAAGGAGGAAGACUUGCUGAAGCCGCUCUACUCCGGCCUCGCCGCUCGCAUCUACAUUGAUCUGACGUGCCAAUCUCGUGGUCAGAUACCUGACGACAUGAAAGGCCAGGACAAAUUCUGGAAAGAUUGGUACCACACGCAGCAAGGCAAGUACGGAGAUUUUGAGGUGCGAGCAAGGGAACUGCUCGAAAGAGACAUGAGUGCAGCCGGUGGGAAGAUAGACUUGAUGUUGGUUGUGGACGGCAGCGGUAGUAUAAGCAGUGCCAAAUUCCAGACAGCCCUCGACUCAUUAGCACGCCUGGUCAACGUCUUCGAUCUUCAGGAGGCCAACGUCGGUAUGGUCACUUACGCGACUAAUAUUACCAGCGUCAUCCCUCUUCUGCACAAUUUGACUAUGGAAGCAUUGCAGGAUGCCAUUAAUAGCACGAGGUAUCCGGCAGAAUACACAAACACUUACGCGGGGAUGAUUGAAGCUGUCAACCAAUUCGAAACACUACCAAACGACCGGAAAGAAAAUGGCAUUCCACGACUAAUGGUUGUCCUCACUGAUGGAAAUCACAAUGAGGGACAGACACCGGGGGUUGCGGCUAAGCUGGCUGCCAAGUUAGGUAUCAUAACCUGCGCCUUCGGGAUAGGCCAUUCGAUCAAAGUCAGCGAGCUCCGCGAGAUCGCGAACCAGGACCCGGACUACAUCUACACGGUGCAGGAUUACGACACGCUGAGGGAGCAGAUCGCCCGUAUGGCGCGACGGGCGAAGACGGUGCCGCAGACGCCCAAAAUGGGCUCCGAGACGAGCGAGACGAUGAAACAGGUCGGCGAGAAGAGGUACUACCGAGUCGCCGUACCGGAGAACGGGACGACCAUCGUACUCAUCAACGAGAAGGGCGAGAUUCGCGGCUACUGGACUUACACCUCCGUCGAACAGCCGUCCAGCGCCUUCUACGACGGGGUCAUAACCGCCGGCGAGACGUUCAUCCCACCCCCACCGGCACGACAGGUGCGACAGCGACGGGACGUGAGCCAGAAUGCACCCGCGAAUGACGUCAUGAUCGCACUGGAGAGUUUCAAAGUCGAUAGUAAGGCCAACGUGAAGAUUGUCCAAGGAGACGCCAGAAAAUCCGCCGCCACUAAAGUUGACGUCGCGUGCUUUAUGCUUGUCGCAGCUUUUAGUUUCACGGUCCUAGCGAUUCACUGAUUAAACAGUAACGUGUUCUUACUAUACUUGACAAUCGAUUUUGGAUUAUUCAAAUUUAAACGAUUAAGUAUUGCCUCAAGUCCGUGUAUGUAGAAUUGGACUGAAAUUUGCAAUUUGGAACUAAAAUAUCUGGCUCCUUUCAGGAACGACGGCGUCAUAUCGACGGCGUCGGUCGGCAAUCACAUAACUCGUUUGCGAUGUCUGAAAAUCUCCGUCUCUAGGUUAUUUUUUGAAGGAGAACAAAUUGACAUCAUCCCUUGAGGUUUUUGCAGAAUUUUCUUCGCACAGAGAAGAAAAAUCACGGCAGUUUUAAAGAAUUGCCGUUGAGUAGUUUUCCGUUUAAAAAAUAAAGUAUGAUAGGAAGUCUGCGACGUCCCAAACCGAGUUAUGUGAUUGCCGACUUACACCGUCGAUAUGCUAUUUGUUCCCCUAUUCAUAUAAGUGUUUUUUUCAGAUGAGAAUGUUUUUUUCAGAAAUUGCAGUUCCGAAUUGCAAAAUGCAGUCUGAUUCAGAAACAAGGAGAGACCCUCCAUUAACUUCCUGGCGACAGGUGGAAAAUUUUACUUUGGGGCAUUCAAGAUUUCUAAGGCAAUAAUGAUCUACAUUCUUGUUGGCUGAUGAGUUUCAGAUUGAAGCAAUAAAUAACCCACUUUUAUCAGAAAAUCGAUAUUGUGCCGUUCCUCAGAUAAGCUAAAAAGUCGGUUCCAUCGUGCGUAAUUCUGUCGCAUCGUCAUUAAAUAAAUAAAUCCAACAAAUCGAUUUUGCGUGAUUCCAAUAUAAAACAAUGAAGUAAUAUAUUUCAAAUCCCUGUGUAUAGAACUCACAGACGAGGAGAGCUUUCCACUGACCUCUCGGCGACAGAUGGAAAAUUCUUUCAAGCAUUCAACAUUUUCAAAGCAAUGAUCAUUCAAUUUUUUCAGCUGAUAGGUUUCAACUUGAUAAAAAAUGCGCCGAAAAAUUUAGAAAACAUCAGCUUAUUUGCUGAAAGAAUGGCCCGACACGUAGCUUAACGGCCACUAAUGAGGUAGGUGAACGAACAGUUCAAUUGUUUAAGUUCCCAGAGACCGAAAGCUUCUAUCAUUUUUGGGAUACCAGUGUAGAGCUUCUCUUUGACUCUAGGUAGGGUUUCUUGUGUUACUGCAUCACGAUUUUGUCAUAAAUAUAUCAUAAAUCGUGAAUGAAUCAUCGAACAAGAGUUUCAAUCGCAAGAGAUACUUCCAAUCUCCUCAUCGCCUUGGUGUGAAUAUGACAAGGUAGGUAUGUGUGAUGGUGUGUAUUUUUACGUCGGAAACGGUAUACAUCGAAUGACGUCAGUGGCGUGGCGUGCUUUGCGAUGUAUCGAUUGUUAUGCCAUUUAAACCUAUGGAAAAGGAUCGAUAAACAGGGUGUUCGCUGCGAACACUUUAAUAAUCGAUUCUUGACCAUAGGUUUAAACGGCAUAACAAUCGAUACAUCGCAAUUCACGCCACGCCACUGAAUUGCGUGGCCACUAAAUCAUUCUAUUGCUGACAUGCAUGACUGAGUUCAUGCUUUAGUGUGUAAUACACGAGUUUGUAAAAAUAUCUCUCCAAAUAGUUAAUGUAGUGUUAGUAUUUUGUAAGCAUUUAUACUUUUUUUUAGAGAAUACUUGAUUCGUUAUAGAAUUGUGGCGUCGUAUUUGUUGAUCACUGAACAUAAUAAUGUAAUAAUAUGGUGUAUCAUGCGUUCAAAACAUGACUAAGUUAUAAAUAAUCAUGCUUUUGAAUCAGAAUUCAUACCUCGAUAAAAAUAUAUAGCUGAUACUAGCGAUAUAUGUUUUUUGCACAUAGAAUCAGCUAAUACUUUCGUAUGUUAUGCAGGCUUAAUAUAGUUCCUACCGAACUAGACCUAACUUGAGAAAACGCAUGAUUUUUUUUGAUUUUUUUAUUUUUUGAUUUUGAUUUUUUUUUUAGCAAGCUGUAGCUAAAUUACUUUACUGUGAAACACUGAUAAGAACCAGAACUAUAUGAUAAUGUUUCCUACGUCAAAUAACUACUUGUUUUGAAUAACGACAUGUACCUUUUAAAACACGCGGUGCUUUUAUACAGUAUUAUUUAGAUAAGUUUUUUAAGGCUUCUUGCAGAUUGUAGAGUGCCUAUCUUUGAAGUUUGCACAUUUGUGAAUACUUACUAUUUCUAAAAAUUUUUUGCAAUUAGAAACAAUUAUUUAUUACCUAAAGGAGCCUUAUUUUUUUAAAACUUUAAGACCCACACACGCACGUACGUACGUUCGACGAUUGCUCUCUACACUUUGCUUGCGGAUUAAAAUCAGUUUAGAGUUUAAGAUGAUUUCCAAAAGGGAUAAGUUUUGCCAUUCAAAUAAAAAACGUCGUGUACCCAAAUCAAAUUAUGCAUUUAAAUUUAGACAAAAUGCUCUAUCACUAGACAAUCUGAUUUUCUUCAUGCCUCAUUUUGCUAGUAUGAAUUUUCAAAAAUAUGACAUUGUUAUUUUGAAAACACACAUUGUUAUUGUUCGCUAGAUUUCUUGCAAACAAGAAGAAUUUAAUGCGAAUAUUGCAAUGUCAACUUGAUAGUAUGCGAAACUAAAAAGAGGAAAUUGCAAUAUAUAAUGGUUUUUUUCUGGGAAGUUCAUCCUCUUCAUAUGCUUGCACAUAGUUUUUAGGGUAUCUACUACAUAUUAUGCUAGUGUUUCCUUGUAGUCGUAUGUUGCCUAACCUCUCAAUUCAAGGCGCGACAAGUAUCUGCAAUUAUCACAGUGGCACACUGAGAUCUAUAGACCACUACUGGGUGAAAAUCAUCGCAAUUUUGAGGCAACACGAUUUCGGCCAACGAAAACUUUAUUGCAAUUUUCUUUACAAAAAUGUUUAUUUGUGUAGAAGAGCAUAUUCCAAGAGAAAAAAUCAAACUUUUUCGGGCCGAAUUCUGUUGGUUAUAUGAAAUUGUAAAUAAAAAUAAUUAGGACGAAUCUGGACAGUUCCUCACGUCUAAUACAUUCUAUCUCUGAUUGACUUAAUCAGAAAUGUGAAAUCAGGGAGCCAAAUCUCAAUAGUGUAGCGCAAUCCCAUUUUUCCUGACAAAUUUUGACCCCCGGAGUAAGGUACCUACGAGGGGCUUGGAGGAGAAGACGCAGAAGUGCAGUUUUUGCUAUUUCGAGAAAUACAUGUUUGAAUUUUUGAAAUUACAUGGAGCCUUAUGGCCGAAAGAAAGUUUAAACUGACCUUUUGAUGCUUAAAAAUUGGAAUUUGGAAGGAAAUG